CUUGGUCAUUUAGAGGAAGUAAAAGUCGUAACGAGGUCUCCGUUGGUGAACCAGCGGAGGGAUCAUUACCGAGUUUACAACUCCCAAACCCCUGUGAACAUACCACUUGUUGCCUCGGCGGAUCAGCCCGCUCCCGGUAAAACGGGACGGCCCGCCAGAGGACCCCUAAACUCUGUUUCUAUAUGUAACUUCUGAGUAAAACCAUAAAUAAAUCAAAACUUUCAACAACGGAUCUCUUGGUUCUGGCAUCGAUGAAGAACGCAGCAAAAUGCGAUAAGUAAUGUGAAUUGCAGAAUUCAGUGAAUCAUCGAAUCUUUGAACGCACAUUGCGCCCGCCAGUAUUCUGGCGGGCAUGCCUGUUCGAGCGUCAUUUCAACCCUCAAGCCCUCGGGUUUGGUGUUGGGGAUCGGCGAGCCCUUGCGGCAAGCCGGCCCCGAAAUCUAGUGGCGGUCUCGCUGCAGCCUCCAUUGCGUAGUAGUAAAACCCUCGCAACUGGAACGCGGCGCGGCCAAGCCGUUAAACCCCCAACUUCUGAAUGUUGACCUCGGAUCAGGUAGGAAUACCCGCUGAACUUAAGCAUAUCAAUAAGCGGAGGA
rnacentral:rRNA from 1 species